rnacentral:rRNA from 1 species
UACGUAGGAUGCAAGCGUUGUCCGGAAUUACUGGGCGUAAAGGGCGAGUAGGCGGCCACUCAAGUCAGAUGUGAAAUAGCCCGGCUUAACCGGGAGGGGUCAUUUGAAACUGAGUAGCUAGAGUGCAGGAGAGGCUAGCGGAAUUCCCGGUGUAGUGGUGAAAUGCGUAGAUAUCAGGAGGAACACCGAUGGCGAAGGCAGGUCUCUGGGCAUUAACUGACGCUGAGGAGCGAAAGCAUGGGGAGCGAACAGG